AUGGAUAGGAGGUUAGAGGGUCGCGAUAUGGGUUACUGCGAGAUUGGAGCGUCGCUGGCUAUGGCAGUUUGGUCGUGGAGGUACGGAAGCGGAGCACUAGUCUUGUGUGUGGUGGCUGGAGUUGAACCGUGGUGGAUGGAUGGCGAGAGGAGGCUUCAGUGGCUCGUCGGAUCUGAGCCGUUGGCAAUGAUUGAGGGCCCCUUUUCCUUUUCUUGCUCCUGUAAUGUUUUUUCCCCUCCCUCUCUUACUGUAACUUUGAGUUUUUAUAGCGAAUCAAGAAUCAUAUUUUAG